GACGAACGCUGGCGGCGUGCCUAAUACAUGCAAGUAGAACGCACAGUUUAUACCGUAGCUUGCUACACCAUAGACUGUGAGUUGCGAACGGGUGAGUAACGCGUAGGUAACCUGCCUGGUAGCGGGGGAUAACUAUUGGAAACGAUAGCUAAUACCGCAUAAUAUUGAUUAUUGCAUGAUAAUUAAUUGAAAGGUGCAAUUGCACCACUACCAGAUGGACCUGCGUUGUAUUAGCUAGUAGGUGAGGUAACGGCUCACCUAGGCGACGAUACAUAGCCGACCUGAGGGGGUGAUCGGCCACACUGGGACUGAGACACGGCCCAGACUCCUACGGGAGGCAGUAGUAGGGAAUCUUCGGCAAUGGACGAAAGUCUGACCGAGCAACGCCGCGUGAGUGAAGAAGGUUUUCGGAUCGUAAAGCUCUGUUGUAAGAGAAGAACGGGUGUGAGAGUGGAAAGUUCACACUGUGACGGUAUCUUACCAGAAAGGGACGGCUAACUACGUG
rnacentral:rRNA from 1 species